rnacentral:rRNA from 1 species
AUUCCAGCUCCAAUAGCGUAUAUUAAAGUUGUUGCAGUUAGAACGCUCGUAGUCGGAUUUCGGGGCGGGCCGACCGGUCUGCCGAUGGGUACGCACUGGUCGGCGCGUCCUUCCUUCCGGAGACCGUGCCUACUCUUAACUGAGCGGGGGCGGGAGACGGAUCGUUUACUUUGAAAAAAUCAGAGUGUUUCAAGCAGGCAGCUCGCUCUUGCAUGGAUUAGCAUGGGAUAAUGAAAUAGGACUUUGGUGCUAUUUUGUUGGUUUCGAACACCGAAGUAAUGAUUAACAGGGACAGUCAGGGGCACUCGUAUUCCGCCGAGAGAGGUGAAAUUCUCAGACCAGCGGAAGACGAACCACUGCGAAAGCAUUUGCCAGGGAUGUUUUCAUCA